AUAUUAUUUAAUGUAUAUUAUAUCAGGUAUGGUUUUAAUACAAAACAUUUAUAUAAUCAGUAAAGGUGAUUAAAGUUUAUUUUAUAUCUUUAUUAAGUACUGAAAAGGAAAGACAUAAAUUGUAAGAAAGAAAAAAUUAAGUUUUGUACCUUUUGCAUCAUGGUUUAGCUAGAUUUAAAUUUUUUACAUAAAAUUUCUCGAAACUUAGUGAGCUAUCUUAUGUUUUAAUUGUAUUAGCAAAAUAAAAGUGAUUGUGGCAAAAAUCUUUUUAAAACUUAAGAUAGAAAUGAAAUUUUUUUCGUACUAAGUGAUAGCUAGUUCUUUUCUUAAAGUACAUAAGUACCGUGGGUUAGUUAUAUGUAGCAGUUAUAUAUGUUUCAUACAUAAUACCCUAACUCAAUUAAAUUUUAGAGGAUAAGCUCUAGAAUGUAAAUAAAAAUUCCAUAAAUGUAUAUAUAAAUUUAGGCUUGAAAAUAGCUAUAAAUUGAGAUUUUGUUAUAAUUUCAUUAAUACUAUUAACAUAUAAUAAGUUUGUUUUAUUACAGGAAAAGAAAAUCUAAGUACUAGAAACACAGAUUAAUCCUAUGCUAAAAUGAGUAUUCUAACAUUUGUAUAUUUUUAAUAAACAAGAUAACAAAAUUUUAAUUUAGACUUUUAAACUAAAUCACUAAAAGGAACUCGGCAAAACUAUAUUCUGCCUGUUUAUCAAAAACAUGGCUCCCUGUAAUAAAUAAAAUAGGGAGUCGGACCUGCCCAGUGAAUUUUUCAACGGCCGCGGUACUCUGACCGUGCAAAGGUAGCAUAAUCAUUUGCCUUAUAACUGAAGGCUAGUAUGAAUGGUUUGACAAGAAUGUGACUGUCUCUUUGUGAUUAAUAAGAAUUUUAUUUUUAGGUGAAGAAGCCUGAAUAUAAUUGAAAGACAAGAAGACCCUAUCGAGCUUAAAAGAAGUUAAUAAGUGUAAUUUUUAAUAAAAUAUUAAUACCAGUUAUUGAAAAUUUUAGUUGGGGCGACUAAGGAACAAAAGAAGCUUCCUUUACAAACUUAGUUAAAACAAGCAAGUAAUGAUCCAGAAAUUUUGAUUAAAGAAAUUAGUUACCGUAGGGAUAACAGCAUUAUCCUCUUUGAGAGUUCAUAUCGAAAAGGGGGCUUGUGACCUCGAUGUUGGACCAGAAUAUCCUAAAGAUGCAGCCGUCUUUAAGGGUUGGUCUGUUCGACCAUUAAAAUUCUACGUGAUCUGAGUUCAGACCGGCGUGAGCCAGGUCAGUUUCUAUCUUCAAUUCCCUAAAUAAACUUAGUACGAAAGGACCAGAUUAUUACAAGUUAAUUGUUAAAAUAUAGAUGAAGUAUAAUGAAUUUAUAAAUAUUUAAAUUUAAUUAAUUUGAUAAA
rnacentral:rRNA from 1 species